ensembl:snoRNA SNORA71 Small nucleolar RNA SNORA71
UCCUGCAUCCCGAAAGUGAUCAAGGCUGCCUGUGCCUUGGUCAUUGGUAGUGCAGGGAAAGGAAUGUGAAAGACAUUCCCCGUGUUUGGGGGGACUCCCAUCCCCUCUAAACCCUAGAGCUUUCCCACA